UACGGGGGGGGCAAGCGUUGUUCGGAAUUACUGGGCGUAAAGGGCUCGUAGGUGGCCAACUAAGUCGGACGUGAAAUCCCUCAGCUUAACUGGGGAACUGCGUCCGAUACUGGAUGGCUUGAGUUUGGGAGAGGGAUGCGGAAUUCCAGGUGUAGCGGUGAAAUGCGCAGAUAUCGGGAGGAACACCAAUGGCGAAGGCAGCUCGCUGGGACGGUACUGACGCUGAGGCGCGAAAGCGUGGGGAGCAAACAGG
rnacentral:rRNA from 1 species